rnacentral:sRNA from 1 species
AGAAGCAGUGACCACAGGCCCCCAUGGCAGGCAGGGCGGGUGGGAGGAGGGUGAUUUACAAGGCAGAUGGGCCUCUGGCUACAGCUCAGUCCUGCACUCAGCCAGGGCCACCCCAGGGGCUAUAAGAGCAACUAGAUUUCUGGAGCAGCUCGGGGAUGGGUGCCAUUUGAGCCCAGCUUGGCUCCCCCUCCUGGCUGGCCUCCUUCCUGCCCUUCUUCUGCCUGCCUGUGUCUGCCAGAUUCUCCAAAGAGGAACGCUUGGCACCAUGUCUCUGCUCAACCCUGUCCUGCUGCCCCCCAAGGUGAAGGCCUAUCUGAGCCAAGGGGAGCGCUUCAUCAAAUGGGAUGAUGAAACUACAGUUGCCUCUCCAGUUAUCCUCCGUGUGGAUCCUAAGGGCUACUACUUAUACUGGACGUAUCAAAGUAAGGUGAGAAAACCCUUGUGUGCCAUGGCCCUGGACUCCUGCUUAUCAUUGAGGAUAAUGAUGCACCGAGGUGGAGGCAUGGAUGCUGGGGAGUACAGAAUGGCCUG